rnacentral:tRNA from 1 species
GCCCGGCUGGCUCAGUCAGUAGAGCGUGCGACUCUUGAUCUCAGGGUGGUGAGUUCGAGCCCCAUGAUGGGUG